rnacentral:misc_RNA from 1 species
UGAUGGGUGGUAGGUUGUUGGUCAUUUGCAAUGGAUUGGUGUUAUUUAUCUAUUUAUUCCUUGUUCUGUUGCAUCUCUAAUGGCUAUCAUAUUAGCCUUAUAUUUUCGUAAGUAUCUGAGGAGUUGUUCACUUCUUGUGCAUAUUUUUUAAAAAGAUGCAAGAGAAUGAGGAUUCUCAUCUCAUGGGAAUCCAAGUGUAGGUAUA